CCUACGGGGGGCAGCAGUGAGGAAUAUUGGUCAAUGGGCGCAAGCCUGAACCAGCCAAGUAGCGUGAAGGAUGACUGCCCUACGGGUUGUAAACUUCUUUUAUAAAGGAAUAAAGUGAGGCACGUGUGCCUUUUUGUAUGUACUUUAUGAAUAAGGAUCGGCUAACUCCGUGCCAGCAGCCGCGGUAAUACGGAGGAUCCGAGCGUUAUCCGGAUUUAUUGGGUUUAAAGGGCGCGUAGAUGGUUUGGUAAGUCAGUGGUGAAAGCUUGCGGCUCAACCGUAAAAUUGCAAUUGAUACUGGCAGUCUUGAGUACAGUUGAGGUAGGCGGAAUUCGUGGUGUAGCGGUGAAAUGCUUAGAGAUCACGAAGAACUCCGAUUGCGAAGGCAGCUUACUAAACUGCCACUGACAUUGAUGCUCGAAAGUGUGGGUAUCAAACAGGAUUAGAUACCCGAGUAGUC
rnacentral:rRNA from 1 species